rnacentral:lncRNA from 1 species
UCAACUGCUCUGAUAUCACAUAGAUCAACUUCACCAGAAGAUCUACUCCAUAUCUCCAGAAGAUUGUGUGGACCUACACCAACAUGCAGUCUCUCUCUGGCAUUAACAAGCUUCCAAAAUUGAAGGACCUUGAAUUCAAUGGGGGGGCUGUCCCUGUUGAGGUGGAAGAAGCCAUUAACAAACUUAAAGAAAGAACUCAUUUUGACUUUAAACACAACAAACUGAAAAAUCAGGAGCAAGCGAAAGGAUAUGCAACAGAAGAAGAAGAAGAAGAUGAUGAUGAUUAUGAUGAUGCAAGGUUUCCAUUCUGCUGGAAGAAAAAGGUCUAACAUUGAGCUCAAGGCACCUCUCCUAUCCAUUCAUUGUCGUGUGGUUUGUGUGUGGUUUGUCAAAUGUUCUGCUUGUUUGUGUUUUUCUGCUCACGCAUGCAUAUUGUACAUGUGUCGAAUAAGUGUGUCCAGUUUCUCACUUAAUCUACACGCAUGCCUAGUGAUUAUGGUUGAGCAUAAAGGUAUUGUGCUUGCAUGUUUGGAUUUGAAAUUGGAUUUGUGUGGCUUUCUUCUGAACCAUCAUGCUGCAGAAUGCUUGGUUCCAAUUAUGUUUCAUGUAAUAAGCGCAAUGCUUGUGCGCAUAAUUGACUUCAUCUCGAUGUAUCGUGUGAUAUCUAUUGAAUGGUUUCUAUAAGGAUGAUGAAGUGUGUAUCAUAUUUUGAAGUACCUUCCUAACCAUAUUAUAUAUAGUAGUUCACUAGUUCUUGCAUUGUGGUGGCCUAGCAAGGUCCUUCUCCUUCAAGCCAAGGUUUAUGCAGAUUAAGCAUACAUAAAUAUAGAUUCUCUCUUCAUUUAUCUACCAAAUUACAGUGCCACUUGUAGUGUUCCAAUCAAUCAUUUCUUGAGCAAAUGGUCUCAUUUGUACUUUGAUGUGCACUUGAUUGGUAGCUACUAGCUAGAGCAAUUUUAUUACACCUUGUCAUCCCCUUGUUCGAGGAUGGGGAAGCUAGUUGUAUAAAGUUGAUACUAAGCAGUAAGCACGUUGAUGUCGGGCCUAGUUGUUCAGACACAUGAAUUGUAUUUGCAUACAAAUAACUUUAGUUCAGAUAGUGGCAUCCUAUGAUCCAAUUUAUAAUCUAUCCAUGUGUACUCUAAUUCAGAUCUCAAAUUAUCACAACAGUGAGUAGUAAGUGGUUGGUAACACAACCAGGAGCCUAAGUCAACAUGUUAGGAAACGGGAAUAGCUUAAAAUAACAGCAAUAGAUGAUUCCUUUGUGUGAGUAGAGGAAAACCAUAACACCAGAAAAAAAAGGCAAAAAUGAACUUCAAUCAGACAGCGCCAUCUCAUAAUCCAAUUUAUAAUCUAUCUAUGUGUACUCCAAUUCAGAUAUCAGAUUAUCAUGACAAGGAGUAGUAAGUGGACGGUAACACCACCAGUAGCCUAACAGGUCAACAUAUUAGGAAACAAGGUUACAGGAACAGGUCGAAGCAAGAAAAAUCGACGAUUCCUCUAUCUGAGCAGAGAAAAAACCGUCACAUCAGAAAAAAAAAAUGAACGUGUGGCAACAAUAGAAAUGGUAGAGAAGAGUUGGACUCACAGUGAAUCGGAUAUAUGGAUGUCGGGCUUGAGUCGGCUGCUCCCCAGAACUGGCCAUGCGCAUGAAGCAGCACUGCUACGACUGCGAUAAAACUCCAGCAAACACCACCAUGCUUGUGGCCACUGUACUGCACUGCACUAGCCUAGAAAACAAAACGAGACCUGAUUCAGUGAAUUGACUCCAGCGAAGCCCGAAGGACGGGGCAGACAAAUCGCGUGACGUUGGUAGCAAGGCAGGCAUUACGCCGAACACCUUACAAGCGGUUUCGAUCGCAACCGGAUGGAAGAGGCUAGCGCACAGGACGUAGCAUAUUUCAACAUAAGAAUACAGGUAAAAUGAUAGAAAUAAUGGAUAUCCAAGGUCUGCAAUUUUGGGCUUCCAAAAAUGGUUUUAUUCAGAGUAUUUGUAGCACAAGCCGAAACUACACAUCUAGGUAAAUGAUCUAUUCUUCUAAUGCUUGCACAACAGCUAUGGCUAUCCCUUUGGACUUCAGUCUCUUCCUCAUCAAGAAUCAAUCCGUGGAAAAAAUAUGCAGCAGCUUGGAAGAAGGAAAACAAAAUUAAACUAUUUAAAUGUAUACACGAAUCAAAGGGAUAAUUACCAUUGGGGAAAACAUUUGUGCAACAAUAAUUUUUGGAUACUCACCCCACUGGAAGCCAGUGUGAACAAUGUCAUAUGCCCUCUAAAACUCAGAGUCUGAAUGAAUAAAUUUGGACGAUCCCUCUUUUAUUUGGUUCAUUUAUGCUGGAAUUAUUAAUAUAAGUUGAAGUGGUAAAUUAUAUGUAGGUACUGACAGAACACUUUAGUUACAUGAAAAAAUUCUUGUAUAUUGAAAAUGCCCACCUUUUAGCUAAGUUUCUACUCAAAUAUGCAAAUCUGAAUGAAACGUGAUGCAACAAGGGUUAAUGAAAGAAUAAUCCAUAGGUUGUAUAAAUAUUUUAGGAGAACAUAUAACUGCUGGACUAACACCAAUUUGUUUUUCCAUUUGAUCAAUCUUCUAUUUUCAGUGCAACAACCCCAAACCCAGGGGUGAGCUUGCUGAACUUUAGUAAGUAUACGCCUAAAUGUAUAAUAAAGAGACCAUUUGUACUAUUAAAUAAGCAUGCUUCUGGUACUUAAAUACAAUUAUGUGAUAGAAAUGGUUUGUUGUAACCAUAAUAUGGAUUUAGCUAUCAAAUAAAACCUUUUGGGUCGUUCCCUGUUCUUUGUGUGGCGAUUUUGUAACCUAGUGGCUAGUGUGUGGGGUGUGUGAGUUUUGGGUGGGUGAGUUGGGUCUCUUGACCCAUGUAUCUUUUUCCUCUAUCUUAAUGAAAUGAUGUGCAGUUCUCCUGCGCUUUUCGAGAAAAAAAAUAAGGCAACAGCUAUCUCGUAGCUACAACAGAUAGCGCACUUGUGUGCUACUGAGAAAAUAUCCUUAUAUCAAUCAAUGGAUUAAAACUAAUUUGGUUUAGACACAACUUUUAAAUUUCAGUAUACUUCUGUAGUUUGGAAUAAAUUGUGAUCAGGAAUAAACACCAUCUCAAGUAUUGAUUGCACCCUGUUAGCAAGCGAAAACUUAUACUGUAUUCCAAGCUGCCUAGAUGUAACUAUACAAGGUAUUUCUCUAGCUAUAUGACAAUCAAAAACUUGUUCUGAAAUUAACCCCACACCUAUCCCACAGUAAUUUUAGAAUUGGGGAAUCAUAACCAAUAAUCUGGUAGUAUAUUGUGCUAAAAAGAAACAGCAUUAUGCAUUGCUGAAACAACCGUGUUCGUUUGCGAAAGCACCCAUGAAAAUCAUGGACAAUGUUGGAACUCAACUUUUGUCUGUUCCAUGUUGAGAAAUUCCAACUGAAGGACCAGUUACUUUGCCUGCAAUCGGGAUAUAAUCAAUCAUAUCUCCUCCAGAAUUAUGGUAAAUAUGCAUAAUCAGCAGCAAACUAGAAAAGUGAGCACUGAACACUUCAACAAUUAUAUCACCACAUAUGCAGUAGGUAAGAUUGAACAGAAUACCAUAGGUCUAACAGACAUUGUAUUAUUUGCGUUGCUUAUAUGUUGAAUCAUGUCGUUCCUAGUGUGGCAUUUCAUCAACCAAGUGGGUUGAUGAUCCCUAACAUGUCUCUGCAGGUAAAGUGGUGUCUCUCUGGCCUCUAAUCAGUCCACUCCAUGGCGCACAUGUCACAUCACAUCAACCCAAACAUCAUCAAAAGAAGGACGCACAAGGGCACAGGGCAGUGAGGCACAACAUCAAAAAUUGGCAUUGGACAAGGGUAAAAAGUGCAAGCAAAGGGUAGGUUCACGGGAAGAAAGCUUUUACGGACCUUGGCAAUGGCGGAGGCAAGGGUGCGGCCGGACUUCACCAGACUCGAGUUCACAACUGUCGAGCCGACCACAUCCCGCGCCGAGGAGCAAGGGGCGCCUCGCCCUGCCAUGGCCGGGGGCCAGGGCCACUGCGCCUCCGUGCCCGGGGGCGGGUCUGCCCCGCCAUGGCCGAGGCUAGUGCCACCUCUCCCCACUGCAACCCGCCAUGGUUGCCUCCCCGUCGUGCUGGGGCCUCUGUGCCGUCGCCGUGAGAGAGAGAGGUUUCGAGAGAGAGAGGACGGGAAGGAGAGAGA